rnacentral:rRNA from 1 species
UAACACAUGCAAGUCGAGCGGUAUUGUUGUUUUUGAUCUCUUCGGAAUGAAAGAACUUCAAGAGAGCGGCGAACGGGUGAGUAACACGUUGAUAUCUGCCCCUAAGUCAGGGAUAGCCCGAGGAAACUCAGGAUUAAUACCGGAUGUGCUCUUCGGAGUAAAAAUUUAUUGCUUAGGGAGGAGUCUGCGUUCUAUCAGCUUGUUGGUAAGGUAAGAGCUUACCAAGGCUAUGACGGAUAGCUGGUCUGAGAGGAUGAUCAGUCACAAUGAAACUGAGACACGGUUCAUACUCCUACGGGAGGCAGCAGUGAGGAAUCUUCCACAAUGGACGAAAGUCUGAUGGAGCGACACCGCGUGAAGGAUGAAGGUCUAACGACUGUAAACUUCUUUUCUGAAGGAGCAUAAUGAGAGUACUUCAGGAAUAAGGGACGGCUAAAUACGUGCCAGCAGCCGCGGUAAUACGUGUGUCCCAAGCGUUACCCGGAAUUAUUGGGUGUAAAGGGUCUGUAGGUGGGAAAGCAAGUCAGGUAUGAAAGACCGAAGCUCAACUUCGUGUUUGUGCUUGAAACUACUUUUCUAGAAUCAGGGAGAGGUAAGCGGAAUUCUUAGUGUAGGAGUGCAAUCCGUAGAUACUAAGAAGAACACCAAAAGCGAAGGCAGCUUACUGGAACUGUAUUGACACUGAGAGACGAAAGCAUGGGGAGCGAAGAGGAUUAGAUACCCUCGCAGUCCAUGCCCUAAACGAUGAUAACUAAGUGUUGCGCAUUGGCGCAGUGCUGCAGCUAACGCGUUAAGUUAUCCACCUGAGGAGUACGAUCGCAAGAUUAAAACUCAAAGGAAUAGACGGGGACCUACACAAGCAGUGGAUCACGUGGUUUAAUUCGACAAUAAACGGGGAAUCUCACCCAGACUUGACAUCCUGAGAGUACACUGGAAACAGAGUAGUGCCCGCAAGGGAGCUCAGUGACAGGUGCUGCAUGGUUGUCGUCAGCUCGUGCCUUGAGGUGUUCGGUUAAGUCCGUUAACGAGCGCAACCCAUGUUCUUAGUUAUUAUGUCUAAGAAGACUGCCUUGGUUAACAAGGAGGAAGGUGUGGAUGACGUCAAAUCAGCAUGGCUUUUACGUCUGGGGCUACACACAUGAUACAAUGGUCUGUACAAAGAGCAGCAAUAUUGCGAAAUGGAGCUAAUCUUCAAAGCAGAUCUCAGUCCGGAUUGGAGUCUGAAACUCGACUCCAUGAAGUUGGAAUUGCUAGUAAUCGCGAAUCAGAUAUGUCACGGUGAAUAUGUUCCUAGGUCUUGUACUCACCGCCCGUCACGGCAUGGAAGUUAGUAAUGCCGGAA